GCAGGCAGCAGUAAAGAAUGCCUUUCAUUCCUGGGAAUGUGAGCAAUAAUUGCGCUUUGGCCACAGCACCUGCUUGCUUGCACCAAAAUGUCGCUGCGGCAGCACGAGCUGCCAGGACCCACAGGGAGAAGGGACCUUUGGGAGAAGGAGAGCUUUGCAGAAGCACAGCAGGUGUUGCCCCUGCUCUGUUCAAGGCUUUGUAACCUUGGGGAAGUCAAUUUGGUUCCUUUCAUUUCUGGGCUGGUGGCACAGGUGGGGACAUGCUGCCCCAUACUGCAGCCGGCACCAGCAGAUCCCAACCCUGCCUGAUGUACAUCACCGUAGACGGCUCUGCCUUCUCAUGAUUUCUCAUUUUGCUUCCUCUGUCUCAGUAAGAAAAUAUCAUCCAGCUCAUGACAUUUCCUUGAAGUUGCUUGUGAGCUGUUCCCGGUGCUCACCAGGGCAGUGCUGCACACAGCCGGCAGGAUUUGAGCCAGCUUCUCCACCCAGCGCCGGGGCUGAUGAACUCCCCGGAGAUGUGUUUGCCAUCACCAUGGCCUUUAAGGAGUCCUGGAACACGGUCUAAUUUCAUGAUUUUUUCCAUCUGGCUUGCCAGUUUAAAGCCGUUUUCACACAUGGACAAAAAUAACUUCAUUUUUCUCACAUGAGCUCUGGAAGCAGGGGCUUGUGUUGGUGAAAGGACACCAGGCAUCCACGGGAGCAGCUGGGACACAGCAGGUGCCUCUUAUCCCCUGUAGACAGUGGGCAGGGGGCACACAGGGACAACCCUCAGGCAAAGAGGGGAUGAAUGCCAGCACUGGAAUGCUGUCACAGCUCUGACAUCCCAGGGUCAACCCCAUGCUGCCCUCUCGUCCACCACAUGUCAUUGUCCCCGAGCCCCUUCUCACGGGACAGCUUUUAGCCCUGCUGAAAGCAGCACCAAAGGGAGGAGGCGAGAUGCCGAUGACCUCGCUGCUGAUGUCAGAGCAGAGCUCUGCACUUCGUUGCCAUGGCAAUGGAGCGAGGACCACAACACACAUUUUCUGGCACUACGUCAGCUGCUCCCACUGCAUCCCGGGGAAUGUUCUCACGGGACCGUGGGCUUCACAUGCUGCAGUCUCAUUCUUGGGUUCCUCACCUUGCAGGGACCAUGAUGCUCCCCUUCCAAGCAUGUUUCUCAGAGACAAAGCCUGAAGAAAUGGUGCCAGAGCAAUGAAAAUGCCCUGCAAACCCAAGCACUGCCUGUACACGUGGUUCUUAAUGUGCGGCACGCCUUUCCAUCAAGCUAAACAAUGCUGACCAUCAUUUCCAGGACAGACUGCCUUCGGUAACGCCUUAAUAAACUUUUCCCUUUGUUUGAGAUUUUGGUUUCC
rnacentral:lncRNA from 1 species